GACGAACGCUGGCGGCGUGCUUAACACAUGCAAGUCGAACGGAAAGGCCCUGCUUUUGUGGGGUGCUCGGGUGGCGAACGGGUGAGUAACACGUGAGUAACCUGCCCUUGACUUUGGGAUAACUUCAGGAAACUGGGGCUAAUACCGGAUAGGAGCUCCUGCUGCAUGGUGGGGGUUGGAAAGUUUCGGCGGUUGGGGAUGGACUCGCGGCUUAUCAGCUUGUUGGUGGGGUAGUGGCUUACCAAGGCUUUGACGGGUAGCCGGCCUGAGAGGGUGACCGGCCACAUUGGGACGGAGGUACGGCCCAGACUCCUACGGGAGGCAGCAGUGGGGAAUAUUGCACAAUGGGCGGAAGCCGGAUGCAGCAACGCCGCGUGCGGGAGGACGGCCUUCGGGUGGUAAACCGCUUUCGCCUGUGACGAAGCGUGAGUGACGGUAAUGGGUAAAGAAGCACCGGCUAACUACGU
rnacentral:rRNA from 1 species